UACAGAGGUCCCAAGCGUUGUUCGGAUUUACUGGGCGUAAAGGGUGCGUAGGUGGCGGGGUAAGUCUGGUGUGAAAGCUCCGAGCUCAACUCGGAAAAGCAUUGGAAACUAUCCCGCUUGAGGGUCGGGGGGGAGACUGGAAUUCUCGGUGUAGCAGUGAAAUGCGUAGAUAUCAGGAGGAACACCAAUGGCGAAGGCAGCACUCUGGGACGUGACUGACGCUGAGACGCGAAAGCGUGGGGAGCAAACAGG
rnacentral:rRNA from 1 species